rnacentral:rRNA from 1 species
GUCCACGCCGUAAACGAUGGAUACUAGCUGUUGGAAGCAAUUUCAGUGGCUAAGCGAAAGUGAUAAGUAUCCCACCUGGGGAGUACGAACGCAAGUUUGAAACUCAAAGGAAUUGACGGGGGCCCGCACAAGCGGUGGAGCAUGUGGUUUAAUUCGAUGAUACGCGAGGAACCUUACCAAGGCUUAAAUGUAGUUUGACCGAUUUGGAAACAGAUCUUUCGCAAGACAAAUUACAAGGUGCUGCAUGGUUGUCGU